CCCGACCUUGGGAGAAAUUGGGGAAAGUUACUCUGCAGAGUCUUCUUUCUGCUCCUAAGGCCACCCCUCUGGUGUCCUCAGGUGUCGACACUACUCACCCAGCCCGAGGCGACAGAAAAUGACGUAGGCGCUCUAACCCACACUCGGGAAGGGGUAGACUGAGCCGACGGACGACCACAUUCUCUAUGAUGCCCCAGGGGACGCCACAGCUGGGAGCCCGGCCGGCCAUGCAGCCAGCCCGAAGAAAAGACUAAGAAUAGGUAGAGGUGGAAAGAGAAUCAAUUUAAGCCAUUGAGUGGCUUACCGCCGCUCCAGUUAGCCAGAUACAUAAGAUCCGGCAGUCAGCUGAGCCAGUACCCAGGAACCGACCCAAAAGAGGGGUAGUGCGGCGGCCAAGCUCGAGCUCUGGUGCACUUCCGGUCCUUCUAGCCGGAGACCUUUGUGCUGGGGCAUCAGUCUUUUCCUGUCUAUGGACUCAAACCGAAAUUUUGGCUCUCCUGGGUCUCCAUCUUGCCAACUGCAGAUCUCGGAACUCCCGAUCCUCCACAGUCACCUGUCAUUUGAGGAGCCUUCUGAAUGCUGAGUGUUGAUGGAAGUGCUCUGGGUCACUAGCCCCUGGUGACACUUCUGAACCCCAAGGAUGAAGAGUUCCUACAAUUUUCCAUGGAGACAACCAGGUGACCACCCAAGGAAUGAGAAUGAAUUUGGCACUGGACUUUUUACUGGCGACAUGGCAUGCUGGAAAGAGGUAGAUCUUCAGAGUUCUAAGAGAACAUGAUGUUGUGUCCAGAAUUCUAUAAUCAGUUAAACUAUUUAUUGAAAGUGAUCACAAAAUAAAGGUAUUAAUUGGAAAUGCAAAAACUAGAAAGCUUACCUCCCAGAGAACUCCCCCUGCCAACUUUGUUUGAGAAUGGAUGCAAUCUAAAUGAACAGAGAACAGGGAAUCCAAGAGGCACCAGCACCACAAGGCAAUGGACGGAUGUGAAUGAGGCCUCUGCUUCAGGCUGGGAGAGCAACUAGUCUAAAUGAGAAUAAGGAUUUGAGGUGUUGCAUAGGACACCUUCAGGGAGAACCCUAGCCUGCUCUUCCUCAGGGGAGUGCUCACAUUCUACAGUCAUUUAUUCUCCUUCUCACUAUGGAGCAUCACUCUGUCUAGCUCCUUCUUUUCCCCCCCUUUUUCUUAAGCAUAGAGCCUCAAACUGCAUAACUCUGUGUGACCUGAGGCUGGAUGAAAUGACCUGUGAAUGUUGGCAGAGACUGGUCCUUCAGUAGACAGCAGGGAAAGACAUGUCCUGGGGCCUAGGAGGGAAGAGUUGUUAUUAAAGAGGGUGCAGUUCCUUCAUGCUGGGUUCAUGCAGGAGUGACUGUCACAGAUGGAGGGAGUCACUCACAACUGCCGCCUGUAAGGAGCUUCUUGAUGGUAUUAUCUGUUAUCUGUUGUUGUGGAACAAAAACCCUGAAACAUAGUGGCUUAAAAAACAAGUGCUUAUUUGCUUAUAGUUAUUGAGGGUCAGAAAUCCAGGAACAGUCUCAGUUGUGUGGUUCUGGAUAAGGGUCUCUCCUGAGGUGGUAGUCAAGCUACCAGCUGGACUGCAUCUUCUGAAGUCUUGCUGGAGCUGGAGAAUUUACUCCCAAGAUGACACACUUACAUAACUGGCAGUUAAUGCAGGCUGCCUCUGUUCUCCCCCACAUGGCUUCUGAUUCUUCAGGGGGGAUUAGUUUAAACUUUCUAUGAUUACUAGGCAGAGAGAGCAAGAGGGAGAGGGAAAAAGAGAGGGAGAGACUGAGGGAGAAAGAGUAGGAGCCAGAGUGAAAGAGAUUGAGCAAGUGAAUAGAGAGUGUUUAUAAGACAGAAGCUAUAGACUUUUCAUAACAAAAUUCUGGAAUUCUUGGACAUUCCAUUUUUUGCUGCCAUAUUCCAUUAGUCACUCCAGGGAAGGAUUAAACAAAGCCAUGAAAAUAGGAGAUAAUGUUGGAGGCCAUCUUAAAGGUGCCUACCACCGAUCUAGGGGCAGGUCAAGAUUGUGUUUUCUAUUCCUAUUUGACCCCACCCCUGCUGGGAUUCCCUGUGGCACUGAGGAGAAAACUCUUCAUUGGAGCUUCUGAUCACUUUGUCUCCUUGAUGAUCUCUCCUCUUUGUCUUUGACUGCUUUUCUACGUUAGCUUCCUAUGUGGUAAAAUACAUGGUCUCAAACUCCCCAAAAGACCUCAGGCUUCCUGGUGUGACUUGGUUUUCUUCUUGGCUGAGCUAUGGGAGGCUCCAGUGGGUGUGGGCUCUUCUUUACCCUCCCUCAUCAUGAUCACCCAGGAGAGGCAGGUUAGGGUUGGGUUUACUCUAAGAACUCUGCACCUACAGCCAUUCUGAUCUCUAAAACCCUUUGACUACUCAUCACAAUUCUCUCUCUCAUCCCUCAUGGGGGGAUGAGAGAUCUCAGGAUGCAGUAUAGUGCUGUGUAUGGGACUGUCUUCUGCUUCCUGAACUUUCCAAAGGGGACACUUAACAAGCUCAGUUGGAAAAAGAAUGAGAUGCAACUAUGCCUUCAAGGCUUCCAUGUGAAUGCAGGUCUCUCCCAGCAGACUCUUCUCUUUCCAAUGGAUGGACAAUCUGAGGACACUCACCUUUUGGUGGAACUGUCUUUCAGUGUUAUCCCUUCUUAGCCAUGAAGAGAAGGAAUGAUAAUGAUAAUACCAAACAUUUACAGAAUUACAUGCUUGACCCUAUUCUAAGUGCUUUAUGUGCUUUAACUCAUUAAAUCCUCACAUUACCUGGAUGUAGAUGGACAUCUUAGGAUGUAAUAUUAUUAUCACUAUAUUAACUAUUGGGAAACUAAGACAGUGGAAUAUCAGUUGACUUGCCCAAGAUCACAUGGCAAGGGCACGCUGGAACCAGGAUUCUUAAACACUCUACUAUGCCUCUUUCAGUUCACUUCCAUUCAAUGUGAACUUCACUCUCUAUCCCAGUGAAUAUUUAUGAUAACCUCUGAUAAGCCCUCUUUUUUGAGCAGAAGCCUAAAGAUGGGCCACAAUUUUAUACAUUAAGCCAGUUCAGAUGUCCACCAAAUUCAGAUUGGACUCCACACUAGGUGAAAUCUUCCCAGGUAAAUAGAGUAAAGUGAUGGUGGUGACAGGGAAGGAAGGUUGCUCUUGUGAGGACUGAAUGAUUCCCACAGUGGUGAGAACCAGGUUAUGACGUCUGGUGGUGGAGAGUGAGGUUUCAAAUUUUAUCUGAAAAUUUUUUUGUACAAAAAAAACAGUUUUUUAAAAUUCUUUUUUUAAAAUAUUCCAUUUAUUUAUUCAUGAGAGACAGAGGGAGAGAGAGAGGGAGAGAGAGAGA